GAGGAAUUUUGGUCAAUGGGGGAAACCCUGAACCAGCGACGCCGCGUGUGGGAUGACGGGGCUUUGCCCUGUAAACCACUGUCGGGAGGGAAGAAAAGUCCAUUUAGUGGACCGGGACUGUACCUCCAAAGGAAGGAUCGGCUAACUACGUGCCAGCAGCCGCGGUAAUACGUAGGAUCCAAGCGUUGUCCGGAUUUACUGGGUAUAAAGGGUGCGUAGGCGGGCAUGUGCGUCAGGGGUAAAAUACAUCGGCUCAACCGGUGGUCUGCCCUUGAUACGGCAUGUCUUGAGUUCGAGAGAGGAUGAUGGAAUUCCUGGUGUAGCGGUGAAAUGCGUAGAUAUCAGGAGGAACACCAGUGGCGAAGGCGGUCAUCUGGCUCGCAACUGACGCUCAGGCACGAAAGCGUGGGUAGCAAACAGGAUUAGAUACCCUGGUAGUCCACGCCCUAAACGAUGUAUGCUUGGUGUUGGGAGUUUAUCUCUCAGUGCCGAAGGAAACCCAUUAAGCAUACCACCUGGGGAGUACGAUCGCAAGGUUG
rnacentral:rRNA from 1 species